rnacentral:rRNA from 1 species
AACGAACGCUGGCGGCAUGCCUAACACAUGCAAGUCGAACGAGACCUUCGGGUCUAGUGGCGCACGGGUGCGUAACGCGUGGGAAUCUGCCCUUAGGUACGGAAUAACUCAGAGAAAUUUGUGCUAAUACCGUAUGAUGUCGAAAGACCAAAGAUUUAUCGCCUAAGGAUGAGCCCGCGUAAGAUUAGCUUGUUGGUGAGGUAAAAGCUCACCAAGGCGACGAUCAGUAGCUGGUCUGAGAGGACGAUCAGCCACACUGGGACUGAGACACGGCCCAGACUCCUACGGGAGGCAGCAGUGGGGAAUUUUGGACAAUGGGGGCAAGCCUGAUGCAGCAACGCCGCGUGAGGGACGACGGCCUUCGGGUUGGUAAACCUCUUUCAGUAGGGUAGGAAGGGUUGGAUGUCUAAUACGCAUCAAC